AUUGAACGCUGGCGGCAUGCUUUACACAUGCAAGUCGAACGGUAACAGGUUAAGCUGACGAGUGGCGAACGGGUGAGUAAUGCAUCGGAACGUGCCCGAUCGUGGGGGAUAACGCAGCGAAAGCUGCGCUAAUACCGCAUACGAUCUGAGGAUGAAAGCGGGGGACCGUAAGGCCUCGCGCGAUCGGAGCGGCCGAUGUCAGAUUAGGUAGUUGGUGGGGUCAAGGCUCACCAAGCCGACGGUCUGUAGCUGGUCUGAGAGGACGACCAGCCACACUGGGACUGUGACACGGCCCAGACUCCUACGGGAGGCAGCAGUGGGGAAUUUUGGACAAUGGGCGAAAGCCUGAUCCAGCAAUGCCGCGUGCAGGAAGAAGGCCUUCGGGUUGUAAACUGCUUUUGUACGGAGCGAAAAGGCUCUCUCUAAUACAGGGGGCUCAUGACGGUACCGUAAGAAUAAGCACCGGCUAACUACGUGCCAGCCGCCGCCGUAA
rnacentral:rRNA from 1 species